GCCUUUAUGGCGUAGUGGUAGCGCGUCGCACUUGUAUCUCAGUAAUGAGGAUUAUGCGAAGGUCACUCGUUCAAUCCGGGUUGGAGGCA